AUAGACCAUGUAUGAACCAUCACUGACAGCUAGCAAGACUUAAUACAUGGAUUACUCUAGGAUGUGGGUAUGGGCCUUGGAUAGGGUGGGGCAGGGAAGGAUGUGUCAUAGAAGGAAAGGUGAUAUCAUACCUUCAGCAGGGGAAGUGAUUCCCCUCUGAAGGAGGCUGCAGAGUAGUGGAGUACAGCCUGAUUCACAAAAGGCUACAAGAAAGUUCAGGCUGAAGAUAGAGACGCAGGAGGGGAGACAGAGAGGAGUCUAUUCAGAAUAGAGAAUGUCAGGAUGUCUAAGGAGCAGGGGAGGCUCAGAGGCAGCUGUGUCACCAAAGCAACACUCCAGGAUGAUCGAGGACUCCAGAAAGCUGCAGCCUGAGAGAUCUCUGCAGGACUCGUAGGCCAUGCCAUAGGAUGUGCAGGGAUAAAGAUGGAGCAGAGAUUGAGAGAAUGGCCGACCAAUGACUGCCCAAGGCUUCCAGCAGAAGGUGCAUCCCAGAUUAAAGGUGUGUCUUCCUGCUCAAGAUCCAAAACAAAGGCAUGUGAUGAAAACCUCAAAAGAUUCACACUAGAAGGGGAUUUACCCACUUCAAACCAAGCCAAAAAAAAAAAAAAAAGCCUUAUGGUGUGCCCUCCAUUUCUGGACUAUAGUUCAUUGCCGAUGUUCUCAAGUUGACAAUCAAGAAUAGCCAUCUGACCAUCUGAGGGUGUUUUUAGAGAUGUUUAACUGUGGGAGGGAAGGCCAUUCUUAAGGUGGUUGGCGCUACCCAAAGGGCUGUACUCCACCCCUGAAUAAAAACUGCAAGAAGAGUACCAGUGUUCAGUUCUGUCUGCUUCCUAAGACCA
rnacentral:sRNA from 1 species